rnacentral:rRNA from 1 species
AGCGUAGACGGCAAGGCAAGUCUGAUGUGAAAACCCAGGGCUUAACCCUGGGACUGCAUUGGAAACUGUCUGGCUUGAGUGCCGGAGAGGUAAGCGGAAUUCCUAGUGUAGCGGUGAAAUGCGUAGAUAUUAGGAAGAACAUCAGUGGCGAAGGCGGCUUACUGGACGGUAACUGACGUUGAGGCUCGAAAGCGUGGGGAGCAAACA